rnacentral:lncRNA from 1 species
UUGCUGCUUGUGUCAUGUAGGUGUUUUGGUUUAACCGAAACACUGAAAUGUUUGAGUGGUUUUCAAAUUCUGUUGUUGAGAAAAGUGGUGGCCGAUUUUUAGGAGGAGAUUAUGGGAUUUUAUUUUUAUUUUCUUGUUAUUUUUUUUUCAAAUUUCAGCUUCUCAUACUUUUCCCAAAUUUCGGCCUUUCUACAUUUUUUUGACAUUUUGAAUCCAUUUUCUCUGCCGUUCUUUUUCUG